rnacentral:rRNA from 1 species
AACGCGAAGAACCUUACCCAGGCUUGACAUCCUGCGAAGGUCUCCGAAAGGAGACUGUGCCUUCGGGAAUGCAGUGACAGGUGUUGCAUGGCCGUCUUCAGCUCGUGUCGUGAGAUGUUUGGUUAAGUCCAUCAACGAGCGCAACCCUUAUAGUUAGUUGAAUUUUUCUAGCUAGACUGCCCUGGUAACAGGGAGGAAGGAGGGGAUGAUGUCAGGUCCGUAUUACCCUUACGCCUGGGGCUACAAACACGCUACAAUGGCCGGUACAAAGGGCUGCCAAGUCGCGAGACGGAGCAAAUCCCAUCAAAGCCGGUCCCAGUUCGGAUUGCAGGCUGAAACUCGCCUGCAUGAAGUCGGAAUCGCUAGUAACGGUGAGUCAGCACAUCACCGUGAAUACGUUCCCGGGCCUUGUA